ensembl:snRNA U6 U6 spliceosomal RNA
GUGCUCAUGUUGGCAGCACAUAUACUAAAAUUUAAAAAAUACAGAGAAGAUUGGCACAGCCCCUGCACAAGGAUGACACAAAAAUUCAUAAGAGUUGUUAGUUUUUA